UUAAGCGACUAAGCGUACACGGUGGAUGCCGGCAGUCAGAGGCGAUGAAGGACGUGCUAAUCUGCGAUAAGCGUCGGUAAGGUGAUAUGAACCGUUAUAACCGGCGAUUUCCGAAUGGGGAAACCCAGUGUGUUUCGACACACUAUCAUUAACUGAAUCCAUAGGUUAAUGAGGCGAACCGGGGGAACUGAAACAUCUAAGUACCCCGAGGAAAAGAAAUCAACCGAGAUUCCCCCAGUAGCGGCGAGCGAACGGGGAGCAGCCCAGAGCCUGAAUCAGUAUGUGUGUUAGUGGAAGCGUCUGGAAAGGCGCGCGAUACAGGGUGACAGCCCCGUACACAAAAAUGCACAUAUUGUGAGCUCGAUGAGUAGGGCGGGACACGUGGUAUCCUGUCUGAAUAUGGGGGGACCAUCCUCCAAGGCUAAAUACUCCUGACUGACCGAUAGUGAACCAGUACCGUGAGGGAAAGGCGAAAAGAACCCCGGCGAGGGGAGUGAAAAAGAACCUGAAACCGUGUACGUACAAGCAGUGGGAGCACGCUUAGGCGUGUGACUGCGUACCUUUUGUAUAAUGGGUCAGCGACUUAUAUUCUGUAGCAAGGUUAACCGAAUAGGGGAGCCGAAGGGAAACCGAGUCUUAACUGGGCGUUAAGUUGCAGGGUAUAGACCCGAAACCCGGUGAUCUAGCCAUGGGCAGGUUGAAGGUUGGGUAACACUAACUGGAGGACCGAACCGACUAAUGUUGAAAAAUUAGCGGAUGACUUGUGGCUGGGGUGAAAGGCCAAUCAAACCGGGAGAUAGCUGGUUCUCCCCGAAAGCUAUUUAGGUAGCGCCUCGUGAAUUCAUCUCCGGGGUAGAGCACUGUUUCGGCAAGGGGUCAUCCCGACUUACCAACCCGAUGCAAACUGCGAAUACCGGAGAAUGUUAUCACGGAGACACACGGCGGGUGCUAACGUCCGUCGUGAAGAGAAACAACCCAGACCGCCAGCUAAGGUCCCAAAGUCAUGGUUAAGUGGGAAACGAUGUGGGAAGGCCCAGACAGCCAGGAUGUUGGCUUAGAAGCAGCCAUCAUUUAAAGAAAGCGUAAUAGCUCACUGGUCGAGUCGGCCUGCGCGGAAGAUGUAACGGGGCUAAACCAUGCACCGAAGCUGCGGCAGCGACACUAUGUGUUGUUGGGUAGGGGGAGCGUUCUGUAAGCCUGUGAAGGUGUGCUGUGAGGCAUGCUGGAGGUAUCAGAAGUGCGAAUGCUGACAUAAGUAACGAUAAAGCGGGUGAAAAGCCCGCUCGCCGGAAGACCAAGGGUUCCUGUCCAACGUUAAUCGGGGCAGGGUGAGUCGACCCCUAAGGCGAGGCCGAAAGGCGUAGUCGAUGGGAAACAGGUUAAUAUUCCUGUACUUGGUGUUACUGCGAAGGGGGGACGGAGAAGGCUAUGUUGGCCGGGCGACGGUUGUCCCGGUUUAAGCGUGUAGGCUGGUUUUCCAGGCAAAUCCGGAAAAUCAAGGCUGAGGCGUGAUGACGAGGCACUACGGUGCUGAAGCAACAAAUGCCCUGCUUCCAGGAAAAGCCUCUAAGCAUCAGGUAACAUCAAAUCGUACCCCAAACCGACACAGGUGGUCAGGUAGAGAAUACCAAGGCGCUUGAGAGAACUCGGGUGAAGGAACUAGGCAAAAUGGUGCCGUAACUUCGGGAGAAGGCACGCUGAUAUGUAGGUGAAGUCCCUCGCGGAUGGAGCUGAAAUCAGUCGAAGAUACCAGCUGGCUGCAACUGUUUAUUAAAAACACAGCACUGUGCAAACACGAAAGUGGACGUAUACGGUGUGACGCCUGCCCGGUGCCGGAAGGUUAAUUGAUGGGGUUAGCCGCAAGGCGAAGCUCUUGAUCGAAGCCCCGGUAAACGGCGGCCGUAACUAUAACGGUCCUAAGGUAGCGAAAUUCCUUGUCGGGUAAGUUCCGACCUGCACGAAUGGCGUAAUGAUGGCGGGCUGUCUCCACCCGAGACUCAGUGAAAUUGAACUCGCUGUGAAGAUGCAGUGUACCCGCGGCAAGACGGAAAGACCCCGUGAACCUUUACUAUAGCUUGACACUGAACAUUGAGCCUUGAUGUGUAGGAUAGGUGGGAGGCUUAGAAGUGUGGACGCCAGUCUGCAUGGAGCCGACCUUGAAAUACCACCCUUUAAUGUUUGAUGUUCUAACGUUGACCCGUAAUCCGGGUUGCGGACAGUGUCUGGUGGGUAGUUUGACUGGGGCGGUCUCCUCCUAAAGAGUAACGGAGGAGCACGAAGGUUGGCUAAUCUGGUCGGACAUCAGGAGGUUAGUGCAAUGGCAUAAGCCAGCUUGACUGCGAGCGUGACGGCGCGAGCAGGUGCGAAAGCAGGUCAUAGUGAUCCGGUGGUUCUGAAUGGAAGGGCCAUCGCUCAACGGAUAAAAGGUACUCCGGGGAUAACAGGCUGAUACCGCCCAAGAGUUCAUAUCGACGGCGGUGUUUGGCACCUCGAUGUCGGCUCAUCACAUCCUGGGGCUGAAGUAGGUCCCAAGGGUAUGGCUGUUCGCCAUUUAAAGUGGUACGCGAGCUGGGUUUAGAACGUCGUGAGACAGUUCGGUCCCUAUCUGCCGUGGGCGCUGGAGAACUGAGGGGGGCUGCUCCUAGUACGAGAGGACCGGAGUGGACGCAUCACUGGUGUUCGGGUUGUCAUGCCAAUGGCACUGCCCGGUAGCUAAAUGCGGAAGAGAUAAGUGCUGAAAGCAUCUAAGCACGAAACUUGCCCCGAGAUGAGUUCUCCCUGACUCCUUGAGAGUCCUGAAGGAACGUUGAAGACGACGACGUUGAUAGGCCGGGUGUGUAAGCGCAGCGAUGCGUUGAGCUAACCGGUACUAAUGAACCGUGAGGCUUAACCU
rnacentral:rRNA from 1 species